GUGGGGAAUAUUGGACAAUGGGCGAAAGCCUGAUCCAGCCAUGCCGCGUGUGUGAAGAAGGUCUUCGGAUUGUAAAGCACUUUAAGUUGGGAGGAAGGGCAGUAAGUUAAUACCUUGCUGUUUUGACGUUACCGACAGAAUAAGCACCGGCUAACUUCGUGCCAGCAGCCGCGGUAAUACGAAGGGUGCAAGCGUUAAUCGGAAUUACUGGGCGUAAAGCGCGCGUAGGUGGUUUUGUAAGUUGGAGGUGAAAUCCCCGGGCUCAACCUGGGAACUGCCUCCAAAACUGCAUGACUAGAGUACGGGAGAGGGUAGUGGAAUUUCCUGUGUAGCGGUGAAAUGCGUAGAUAUAGGAAGGAACACCAGUGGCGAAGGCGACUACCUGGACUGAUACUGACACUGAGGUGCGAAAGCGUGGGGAGCAAACAGGAUUAGAAACCCUUGUAGUCC
rnacentral:rRNA from 1 species